rnacentral:sRNA from 1 species
UCGCAGGCGGAACGUGCCUCGUUCUUGUUUCAGCCACUAUCUUUGUUUAUGUUUUAAUGCGGCUAUAAAAUGCAGGAGAGGAUGGACAUGGACGGUGCCUGGACGCAUUCCAAAUGACCGCACGUUCCCACACAUACACACAGUCCUACUGGGGACAUGUCCUGCAGGUCUUUGUAGGUCAAAGUAGGAGCCUCUGUGGGCUCUGUGCCUCUGGCUUACCUGUCGUAUACUUAAUCACCUCGAAGUAACUGGCGAAACUGCAAAUCUCUGAUCACGAGCACAAAAGCCACAGACACCUGGAAAAUACCACUGGACGAAAAACUACAAGUGUAACCGUCGCUUCUUCAGCGCUUCCUUUAGAGGAUUCUGUUCGCGAUCGCGGAACACACGCGUUGCUGUCAAGCUUCAAACUACUCGACUGUCAGCUCGGGUCGUUCUUUUUAUACGGCCAGGACACGGACACUUGCCGCCGAGGCAUUCAAAACACAACAUGUUGCAGGUUGGACAUGCAACCCAACAAGCCUUGCAAGCUCCCAAGGCGCAGGCGUCUGCGAGGUUGCCUACAGGACCUCUCUAAGAAUAGUCGGGUUCAGAACCAGAGCUUUCGACUGACGCUAAUGCCUCCAACAUGCUGGAAAGGCUGCGAGCUGUGUAGCCUCAUCCCCCCUCAGGCCUUAUCAAACGCGUUUGGGUAGUAAUAAUUCCUAUGACAGUUUAAUUUUGGGAGAAGGCCAGAGUGCGUUUUGGGAGAAUUGGCAUCUAAUUAUUAGCGAAAUAUCUCAGGGGAAACUUUUGUAGCUUUGUAGAAUCUGUGCACCACGUGCUUGUUCUUAAUCCUUUUUGGCCGGAAAGGGUAACCUAGCAAUAAUUUAUAAGUGGACAAACUAAAUCAUUUUUUGCAUUCUCCCCCCACUUUGUGGCUGUCCAUUAGAGUAAAGAGGUUUCAGAAGAACCACUCAAAGUGGGCAAUGUUUGGACACGCACCUGAAUCGGAAAUAAAAGGCACAGCCGGGCUGAAUGAAGCCUCUCUCGUGUCUCGCACAGAU